GACGAACGCUGGCUGCGUGCUUAACACGUGCAAGUCGAACGCUGAAGCCCCAGCUUGCUGGGGUGGAUGAGUGGCGAACGGGUGAGUAACACGUGAGUAACCUGCCCCUGACUUCGGGAUAAGCCCGGGAAACUGGGUCUAAUACCGGAUACGACUAUCGGACGCAUGUCUGGUGGUGGAAAGUUUUUUCGGUUGGGGAUGGGCUCGCGGCCUAUCAGUUUGUUGGUGAGGUAAUGGCUCACCAAGACGACGACGGGUAGCCGGCCUGAGAGGGCGACCGGCCACACUGGGACUGAGACACGGCCCAGACUCCUACGGGAGGCAGCAGUGGGGAAUAUUGCACAAUGGGGGAAACCCUGAUGCAGCGACGCAGCGUGCGGGAUGACGGCCUUCGGGUUGUAAACCGCUUUCAGCAGGGAAGAAGCCUUCGGGUGACGGUACCUGCAGAAGAAGUACCGGCUAACUACGUG
rnacentral:rRNA from 1 species